CCUACUCCUUGAAGUGUUGCAGGUGUGGCUGCUAUGUCACAUGUGUGUCAGUAGAUGGCAGAGAGGAGAGAGGCUGUGUCUACACCGAGUGUCUUCACCUAAGAAUGUCUGAAUGAUUAGUAGCCUAACAUU